rnacentral:rRNA from 1 species
GGGAACAUACCCUUUUCUACGGAAUAGCUCUGGGAAACUGGAAUUGAUACCGUAUACGCCCUACGGGGGAAAGAUUUAUCGGGGAAGGAUUGGCCCGCGUUGGAUUAGCUAGUUGGUGGGGUAAAGGCCUACCAAGGCGACGAUCCAUAGCUGGUCUGAGAGGAUGAUCAGCCACAUUGGGACUGAGACACGGCCCAAACUCCUACGGGAGGCAGCAGUGGGGAAUAUUGGACAAUGGGCGCAAGCCUGAUCCAGCCAUGCCGCGUGAGUGAUGAAGGCCUUAGGGUUGUAAAGCUCUUUCACCGAUGAAGAUAAUGACGGUAGUCGGAGAAGAAGCCCCGGCUAACUUCGUGCCAGCAGCCGCGGUAAUACGAAGGGGGCUAGCGUUGUUCGGAAUUACUGGGCGUAAAGCGCACGUAGGCGGAUAUUUAAGUCAGGGGUGAAAUCCCAGAGCUCAACUCUGGAACUGCCUUUGAUACUGGGUAUCUUGAGUAUGGAAGAGGUAAGUGGAAUUGCGAGU